AAUUUUGGGUUUCCUCGGAAUUUCCUCAGAAAUUCCUCGGGAAAUUCCGAGGAUUUCAUUUUCCGUCGGAAUGUCCCGUCAGAAUACCGUUGUUUUCUUGUAGUGUUCAUGGGAAAGUGUUUAAUAAUUAUAAGAAAAUAUAUGUAAAAAUGAUAUGUAUGUUUUUGGACUCGCCAAACUAUAUAUAUCACUUAAUGAAAUUACUAAGAUUAUGCUAAGAUAUUUUUCCAUUAAUAAACAAAAUCUUAACAAAUAAAACCAUGAUUUAUACGAUCACUAAUAUUAUGCAAAGAUAUUUUUUUUACAAAACUAAACAUCGACAUCAAAAUAACAGUUGAUAUAAGGAUCAAGCUUUACCAUUACAGAACUAAUAAAUAACAUCAUCAA
rnacentral:lncRNA from 1 species